GACGAACGCUGGCGGCGGGCCUAAUACAUGCAAGUAGAACGCACAGACAAUACCGUAGCUCGCUAAAGCAUAAACUGUGAGGUGCGAACGGGGGAGUCACGCGUAGGUAACCUGUCGGGGAGCGGGGGAUAACGAAAGGAAACGAUAGAUAACACCGCAUCAUCUUAUUAAUGCCAUGAAAAUUGAUAGAAAGCUGGAAUUGAAUAGCUAACAGAUGGUCAUGCGGUGUAUUAGCUAGUAGGUGAGGUAACGGCUCACCUAGGCCACGAUACAUAGCCGACCUGGCGAGGUGGUCGGCCACACUGGGACUGGGACACGGCCCAGACUCCUACGGGGUGCCGCCGUAGGGAAUCUUCGGCAAUUGACGAAAGUCUGACCGCACAACGCCGCGGUAGUGGAGGAAGUUUUCGGGUCGUAAAGCUCUGUUGUAAGAGAAGAACGGGUGUGAGGGUGGAAAGUUCACACUGUGACGGUAUCUUACCAGAAAGGGACGGCUAACUACGUG
rnacentral:rRNA from 1 species